rnacentral:rRNA from 1 species
UACAGAGGGGGGCAAGCGUUGUUCGGAAUUACUGGGCGUAAAGGGCGCGUAGGCGGCCUGUUAAGUCGAACGUGAAAUCCCCAGGCUCAACCUGGGAACUGCGUCUGAUACUGGAUGGCUUGAAUCCGGGAGAGGGGAUGCAGAAUUCCAGGUGUAGCGGUGAAAUGCGUAGAUAUCUGGAGGAACACCUGAGGCGAAGGCGGGCUACUGGGCCGAUACUGACGCUGAUGCGCGAAAGCCAGGGGAGCAAACGGG